rnacentral:rRNA from 1 species
AUGCCAACCUUUGCACUGACUGUUCUUCGAGUGCCAAAGAAACUACUCAAGGAGAUAGACAAAUGCCGACGUAGAUUCCUCUGGAAACAAGAUGAGGAGAUCACAGGUGGCAGCUGCAAGGUAAAUUGGUCAGCGGUGUGCACACCUACAACGCAGGGAGGACUAGGGAUCCUCGACCUUGAGCGUUUCAGCCGCGCCCUUAGAUUGCGGUGGCUCUGGAUCUCCUGGACCGAUCCGGAGCGGCCUUGGGUCGGCACGGAGCCGCCAUGCAACGACAGCGAUAGGGCCCUCUUCACGACAGCGACCACAGUCACCAUCGGGACGGUGCAACGACACUCUUCUGGCAUUCACCCUGGAUCGGGUCGGGCACCCUCGCCAGCUCCUACCCCCUCCACUACUCGCAUUCUAGGCGAAAAAACAGGACGGUGCGCGACGCCCUUACGGAUGAAACGUUGA